UACGGAGGGUGCGAGCGUUAAUCGGAAUUACUGGGCGUAAAGUGUGCGCAGGCGGCCGAGUAAGUCGAGUGUGAAAGCCCCGGGCUUAACUUGGGAAUUGCGCUCGAAACUACUUGGCUGGAGUGUGGCAGAGGAAGGUGGAAUUCCAGGUGUAGCGGUGAAAUGCGUAGAGAUCUGGAGGAACACCGAUGGCGAAGGCAGCCUUCUGGGCCAACACUGACGCUCAUGCACGAAAGCGUGGGGAGCAAACAGG
rnacentral:rRNA from 1 species